rnacentral:rRNA from 1 species
AAACUAACAAGGAUUCCCUUAGUAGCGGCGAGCGAAGCGGGAUGAGCUCAAAUUUGAAAUCUGGCGUCUUUCAGGCGUCCGAAUUGUAAUCUAUAGAAGCGUUUUCUGUGCUGGACCAUGUCCAAGUCCCUUGGAACAGGGUAUCAAAGAGGGUGACAAUCCCGUACUUGACAUGACCACCAGUGCUCUGUGAUACGUUUUCGACGAGUCGAGUCGUUUGGGAAUGCAGCUCAAAAUGGGUGGUAAAUUCCAUCUAAAGCUAAAUAUUGGCGAGAGACCGAUAGCGAACAAGUACCGUGAGGGAAAGAUGAAAAGCACUUUGGAAAGAGAGUUAAACAGUACGUGAAAUUGUUGAAAGGGAAACGAUUGAAGUCAGUCGUGUCUAUUGGUUUCAGCCGGUUCUGCCGGUGUAUUACCUUUAGACGGGUCAACAUCAGUUUUGGACGGCAGAUAAGAGCAGUUUGAAUGUAGCACCUCCGGGUGUGUUAUAGCUUUCUGUUGCAUAUGCUGUCCGAGACUGAGGACUGCAGCUCGCCUUUUAGGCCGGGGUUCGCCCACGUUCGAGCUUAGGAUGUUGACAUAAUGGCUUUAAACGAC